AGUGAACGCUGGCGGUAGGCCUAACACAUGCAAGUCGAACGGCAGCACAGUAAGAGCUUGCUCUUACGGGUGGCGAGUGGCGGACGGGUGAGGAAUACAUCGGAAUCUACUUUUUCGUGGGGGAUAACGUAGGGAAACUUACGCUAAUACCGCAUACGACCUACGGGUGAAAGCAGGGGAUCUUCGGACCUUGCGCGAUUGAAUGAGCCGAUGUCGGAUUAGCUAGUUGGCGGGGUAAAGGCCCACCAAGGCGACGAUGCGUAGCCGACCUGAGAGGGUGAUCGGCCACACUGGAACUGAGACACGGUCCAGACUCCUACGGGAGGCAGCAGUAGGGAAUCUUCCGCAAUGGGCGAAAGCCUGACGGAGCAACGCCGCGUGAGUGAUGAAGGUCUUCGGAUCGUAAAACUCUGUUAUUAGGGAAGAACAAAUGUGUAAGUAACUAUGCACGUCUUGACGGUACCUAAUCAGAAAGCCACGGCUAACUACGUG
rnacentral:rRNA from 1 species